CCUACGGGAGGCAGCAGUGAGGAAUAUUGGUCAAUGGGCUUACGCCUGAACCAGCCAAGUCGCGUGAGGGAAGACUGCCCUAUGGGUUGUAAACCUCUUUUGUCAGGGAGCAACGCCGGCUACGUGUAGCCGGACUGAGAGUACCUGAAGAAAAAGCAUCGGCUAACUCCGUGCCAGCAGCCGCGGUAAUACGGAGGAUGCGAGCGUUAUCCGGAUUUAUUGGGUUUAAAGGGUGCGUAGGCGGAAUGCCAAGUCAGCGGUAAAAUCGGGGGGCUCAACCUCGCUCCGCCGUUGAAACUGGCGGUCUUGAGUGGGCGAGAAGUAUGCGGAAUGCGUGGUGUAGCGGUGAAAUGCAUAGAUAUCACGCAGAACUCCGAUUGCGAAGGCAGCAUACCGGCGCCCAACUGACGCUGAAGCACGAAAGCGUGGGUAUCGAACAGGAUUAGAUACCCUAGUAGUC
rnacentral:rRNA from 1 species